UGGGGAUUGGCCAAGUGGUAAGGCAUCGCCCUCUGGAGGCGAGAUCGGGGGUUCGAAUCCCUCAUCCCCAGCCA
rnacentral:tRNA from 1 species